GGAACAUUGUCUCUACAUGGGCCAUC
rnacentral:piRNA from 1 species